AUUGAACGCUGGCGGCAGGCUUAACACAUGCAAGUCGAGCGGAGACGAGGUGCUUGCACCUUAUCUUAGCGGCGGACGGGUGAGUAAUGCUUAGGAAUCUGCCUAUUAGUGGGGGACAACAUUCCGAAAGGAAUGCUAAUACCGCAUACGUCCUACGGGAGAAAGCAGGGGAUCUUCGGACCUUGCGCUAAUAGAUGAGCCUAAGUCGGAUUAGCUAGUUGGUGGGGUAAAGGCCUACCAAGGCGACGAUCUGUAGCGGGUCUGAGAGGAUGAGCCGACAAACUGGGACUGGGACAGGGCCCAGACUCCUACGGGAGGCAGCAGUGGGGAAUAUUGGCCAAUGGGGGGAGCCCUGAACCAGCCAGGCCGCGUGUGUGAAGAAGGCCUUAUGGUUGUAAAGCACUUUAAGCGAGGAGGAGGCUACUGAGACUAAUACUCUUGGAUAGUGGACGUUACUCGCAGAAUAAGCACCGGCUAACUCUGUGCCAGCCGCCGCCGUAAGAC
rnacentral:rRNA from 1 species